UAGCUCAGUUGGUAGAGUGUUUGCCUCAUAUGCACAAAGCCCUGGGUUCAAUCCUCAG
rnacentral:tRNA from 1 species